rnacentral:rRNA from 1 species
UUGUGAGGUUAAGCGACUAAGCGUACACGGUGGAUGCCCUGGCAGUCAGAGGCGAUGAAGGACGUGCUAAUCUGCGAUAAGCGUCGGUGAGGUGAUAUGAACCGUUAUAACCGGCGAUUUCCGAAUGGGGAAACCCAGUGUGUUUCGACACACUAUCAUUAACUGAAUCCAUAGGUUAAUGAGGCGAACCGGGGGAACUGAAACAUCUAAGUACCCCGAGGAAAAGAAAUCAACCGAGAUUCCCCCAGUAGCGGCGAGCGAACGGGGAGGAGCCCAGAGCCUGAAUCAGUGUGUGUGUUAGUGGAAGCGUCUGGAAAGGCGCGCGAUACAGGGUGACAGCCCCGUACACAAAAAUGCACAUAUUGUGAGCUCGAUGAGUAGGGCGGGACACGUGGUAUCCUGUCUGAAUAUGGGGGGACCAUCCUCCAAGGCUAAAUACUCCUGACUGACCGAUAGUGAACCAGUACCGUGAGGGAAAGGCGAAAAGAACCCCGGCGAGGGGAGUGAAAAAGAACCUGAAACCGUGUACGUACAAGCAGUGGGAGCCUCUUUAUGGGGUGACUGCGUACCUUUUGUAUAAUGGGUCAGCGACUUAUAUUCUGUAGCAAGGUUAACCGAAUAGGGGAGCCGAAGGGAAACCGAGUCUUAACUGGGCGUUAAGUUGCAGGGUAUAGACCCGAAACCCGGUGAUCUAGCCAUGGGCAGGUUGAAGGUUGGGUAACACUAACUGGAGGACCGAACCGACUAAUGUUGAAAAAUUAGCGGAUGACUUGUGGCUGGGGGUGAAAGGCCAAUCAAACCGGGAGAUAGCUGGUUCUCCCCGAAAGCUAUUUAGGUAGCGCCUCGUGAAUUCAUCUCCGGGGGUAGAGCACUGUUUCGGCAAGGGGGUCAUCCCGACUUACCAACCCGAUGCAAACUGCGAAUACCGGAGAAUGUUAUCACGGGAGACACACGGCGGGUGCUAACGUCCGUCGUGAAGAGGGAAACAACCCAGACCGCCAGCUAAGGUCCCAAAGUCAUGGUUAAGUGGGAAACGAUGUGGGAAGGCCCAGACAGCCAGGAUGUUGGCUUAGAAGCAGCCAUCAUUUAAAGAAAGCGUAAUAGCUCACUGGUCGAGUCGGCCUGCGCGGAAGAUGUAACGGGGCUAAACCAUGCACCGAAGCUGCGGCAGCGACACUAUGUGUUGUUGGGUAGGGGAGCGUUCUGUAAGCCUGUGAAGGUGGCCUGUGAGGGUUGCUGGAGGUAUCAGAAGUGCGAAUGCUGACAUAAGUAACGAUAAAGCGGGUGAAAAGCCCGCUCGCCGGAAGACCAAGGGUUCCUGUCCAACGUUAAUCGGGGCAGGGUGAGUCGACCCCUAAGGCGAGGCCGAAAGGCGUAGUCGAUGGGAAACAGGUUAAUAUUCCUGUACUUGGUGUUACUGCGAAGGGGGGACGGAGAAGGCUAUGUUGGCCGGGCGACGGUUGUCCCGGUUUAAGCGUGUAGGCUGGUUUUCCAGGCAAAUCCGGAAAACCAAGGCUGAGGCGUGAUGACGAGGCACUACGGUGCUGAAGCGACAAAUGCCCUGCUUCCAGGAAAAGCCUCUAAGCAUCAGGUAACAUCAAAUCGUACCCCAAACCGACACAGGUGGUCAGGUAGAGAAUACCAAGGCGCUUGAGAGAACUCGGGUGAAGGAACUAGGCAAAAUGGUGCCGUAACUUCGGGAGAAGGCACGCUGAUAUGUAGGUGAAGCGACUUGCUCGUGGAGCUGAAAUCAGUCGAAGAUACCAGCUGGCUGCAACUGUUUAUUAAAAACACAGCACUGUGCAAACACGAAAGUGGACGUAUACGGUGUGACGCCUGCCCGGUGCCGGAAGGUUAAUUGAUGGGGUUAGCGGUAACGCGAAGCUCUUGAUCGAAGCCCCGGUAAACGGCGGCCGUAACUAUAACGGUCCUAAGGUAGCGAAAUUCCUUGUCGGGUAAGUUCCGACCUGCACGAAUGGCGUAAUGAUGGCCAGGCUGUCUCCACCCGAGACUCAGUGAAAUUGAACUCGCUGUGAAGAUGCAGUGUACCCGCGGCAAGACGGAAAGACCCCGUGAACCUUUACUAUAGCUUGACACUGAACAUUGAGCCUUGAUGUGUAGGAUAGGUGGGAGGCUUUGAAGUGUGGACGCCAGUCUGCAUGGAGCCGACCUUGAAAUACCACCCUUUAAUGUUUGAUGUUCUAACGUUGGCCCGUAAUCCGGGUUGCGGACAGUGUCUGGUGGGUAGUUUGACUGGGGCGGUCUCCUCCUAAAGAGUAACGGAGGAGCACGAAGGUUGGCUAAUCCUGGUCGGACAUCAGGAGGUUAGUGCAAUGGCAUAAGCCAGCUUGACUGCGAGCGUGACGGCGCGAGCAGGUGCGAAAGCAGGUCAUAGUGAUCCGGUGGUUCUGAAUGGAAGGGCCAUCGCUCAACGGAUAAAAGGUACUCCGGGGAUAACAGGCUGAUACCGCCCAAGAGUUCAUAUCGACGGCGGUGUUUGGCACCUCGAUGUCGGCUCAUCACAUCCUGGGGCUGAAGUAGGUCCCAAGGGUAUGGCUGUUCGCCAUUUAAAGUGGUACGCGAGCUGGGUUUAGAACGUCGUGAGACAGUUCGGUCCCUAUCUGCCGUGGGCGCUGGAGAACUGAGGGGGGCUGCUCCUAGUACGAGAGGACCGGAGUGGACGCAUCACUGGUGUUCGGGUUGUCAUGCCAAUGGCACUGCCCGGUAGCUAAAUGCGGAAGAGAUAAGUGCUGAAAGCAUCUAAGCACGAAACUUGCCCCGAGAUGAGUUCUCCCUGAGACUUAGAGUCUCCUGAAGGAACGUUGAAGACGACGACGUUGAUAGGCCGGGUGUGUAAGCGCAGCGAUGCGUUGAGCUAAC